rnacentral:lncRNA from 1 species
CCAGCCUGGGGCCCAGUUCCUUCCUGGAGAAGCUUCAUGGGUUUCAGUUGCCCCCAGGCUUCUGGAUGAGACCAGGGUUCACAGGUGAUGUGACUGGACCUACCCAGGUGGGAGAAGAUAAGUAGAAGAUGCCCAGAGGUGGUGGGUCCUCCAGGUGUUGUGAAGGCCCAGGAGGAGCAGCAGAGAUCUGAGCCUGUAGAUCUGAAGAGCUCCCAAAGCACUGUAGAUCGAAGCUUUACAUAACUUCAGGAGCCAACGGCUUUGUGAGGGAAUCCCACUAACAGGAGCUGUGUCAGUGCCAUCGGC